ensembl:lncRNA
UAAGAGUGGCGUGUGAAGCAAAAUGACUGUAUUUCAAUGUGCCCUUGUGGGGAAGGAGCGAUGGACAGAUUCUUCCCUCAGAAAAAGCUCCCUUCUGUGUCAGGGGCAGGAUACCAGAGAGUCCGCGCUUUGCUUAGUUUCAAACGUCCCUGGGGAAAAGGAGCUUGAAACUGGAAGGAUCUGGCAGAGCUGUGAAUAUUCAGAGGGACCCACAGCAUUUCCCAGUUUGGACUGAGGUCCCUGGGAGCCCAAGAAAACAGGAAACCUGCAUUUGAAGUGCAGACCUUGCCUUUCUUUGGAGAACUAUUCCUCCUCCCUCCAGUGCGAUUCUGUUGAGGCUGUGGGAUUUACACAUAUUGACGUGGGAAGAGAAUGUCUGCAUCCUACCCUGGAGCAAGCCAAAGAAGCAAUAGAGAAUGCGGGCAACACACAAAAGUGAGACAGAACCAUCGGAAGCAUCAAAUCCUGUAUUCCAUUCUCGAAGCCCACCAAAUCUGUCCUGAAUUCUUCCUUUGAUUGUGUGAGUGAACACAGCGUUCUUCCACUAAAUUUCCAUUUCUCCUUCAGCUCCAGCAAGUUGGGCUUCUGUCACUCGCAAAAGUGUCUAAUAUCCUUGUCUACCUUGCAGCAUUAUUGUAUGGGUCAGAUAAAACAAGUACACAAAGUUCUUCGAAAAUCUAAAGCAUAACACUAACUGGAAUAAAAAGAACUGUGAAAUAUAGUUUCUUCCCUUCAAGGAGAAAUAAGGUAUUCUGCACUGGCAAUGUUAAUUACUUAAGAACAGAAUGUUAAUUGCACAACUUAUGUGGUUGGAUUCAGUGUCAACAGGAGGCUGUGAAUUGUGGUGACCAGGGAAGGCUUCGGGGGAGAGGCAGGAUUCGAGCUGGGCCUGAAGGAUAAACACAAUGUUGAUCAAAGUAAGGAAAAGGCUUUCUAGGCAUGGAGGAUGUGGGUUAAAGCACCACGACUGGACACCCAGUCAAAUAUUUACUGGCCUACUAUGGGUGAUGCCUGGAGGAAGUCAAGGCUUGGAGAGCCUUGGAAUCUGCUCUGGCCACUUAUAAAAGCCACUUAAAUCAUCAAAUACCAAAAGAAGUCUGCAGUAUUUAAGCAAACAAAAAAAAGCUAGAGGAACAUAUUCCACAUUCCUGUGGGUCCUCUCUUGUAAUCCAAGGCCUUUCUUCUUCCUCGUUAGUAUUUUUAAGACUUCCCUGGUGUUUGAGUCAGGUUAGUAUCACCUGGAGACUUCAUCCGUGUUUUCUGUUCCCUCUCUUUGAGAGUGAGCAGAAAUGGCCAAUUCAGAUGAAAGUGAUCACCCGCUCAGGGCCCUUCUUGAUGAUCCAGCUGCUAUCACUUUUCACCCCCCUCUGUGGUUAUUGUCCUUCCCAGUUUCAUCUUCUUCAGCCACACUUGUGGUUAAGCCUCAGGGCUGGAAAUGGAAAUUAUUCUUCCUGAGAAGCUUGACGCUGUUAUUGUUAAGUAGCUGCAGACUUUUAACAUUUUAAGGGUACGGGACAACAAGCGUGCACAUUGUUUUCCCAUUAUUUCUUAAAGUACCACGCUUAGAAAUCUUCCUGAGCUCAUUUAUCAUUUGACUCUGGGAUCUCAACAGCACAUGUUUUCUUCCUUCAAUCCAAGGAAAGUCAUAUUAGAAUUGUCAGGUUCACUCAUUACAAGACAUAAAAAAAAAAUCAAAACCUUAGUUUCCCUAUCUACAAAAUAGUAUUUGUGACACCUAAUUUUACAGGGCUAUCAUGAGAAUUAACUAAAACAAUUGAGGUGGGGUUAUUUUAUGGAGCACCACAACAAUAACAAAGCAAUACAGAAGUAGUAGGAUGGGGUACAAUUCUCAUUUGUAAACUUUUACUCCCUGCCCUGAUCCCCUAGUUCUGUCCUCCCUCUGUGAUCCUCAUGAGCCCCUUGAUUUUUCCUGAUAAUGGGCUCAUGUUACUUCUAGUACCUGAUAGGCACCCCAGGCUGGAGUUUACAAAUUUGCUGAAGGUUAGCACUUUCCAUCUCAUACUCCUGCUGGACUGAUGCUGAAGGCAAUUCACACCAAAGAGAAGACUGAGAAUUAGGGUAGCAGGUGGCUCAAAGCAGCUGUGCAUGAGACUUGCCAUCUGCAGAGAUGGGGAAGGGACCUGCAAGGCAGCUGAUGGCAGUGGGAACCACGCCAGAGCCAGAGGGAAGGUCUUGCCUUGGUCGACAGGCUGAAUCAAACGGAGACAGUCGGAUGCUAAAGGUGGAGGAGAGGGAGAGAAUUUGGCCAAUUCAAGAAGGGAAUGGGGUGCUGAGUGCCACCUGCAGCUCAUUUCUGUGCUUUAUAAUCCAUCAUUUUCUCUUUUUCUUUGAAAAUAUCUCCUAGGGAGAGGCCCUUUGGCAAGAGGGAAGCUAGGCAUACUUGUCAUCUUUUCCUCUGUCCUCAUCCCAGUUGGAAACAAAUAACUCAAAGCUGGUUGACUUCCUAGCAGAUCUAAUUUAUUUCAAACUCCAUUUUCAGUCAAUCUCAUAGGCAAAUUCUUCCAGGAAAGCUGGAAUUAUUCUGUGGAAAUGGUUAGGGGGUAUGCUCAUGGACAGAGGUAGUUGAGGUUGUUGCCUCACAGAGCAUGAGAUUGAAAAAGGACCCAAAAGGUCAAUAGAUACCUUCUCUCUCUAAGAGGAGGACACCGAGGCCAGAAUGGGCAGGUGACUUGCCCAGGGUCUUACUUCCAGGUGCCCUGCCUUCCUAAGUCCCCUAAAGGGAGAGUGGAAUAUAAAGAUCCACUGCACCGGGAAAACAAUUCAGGAGUGAUGGGGCAGAACUGGCCAGCUGGAAGUGAUCUUGUCAAAGAUGAGACUGGGAGUGAAAAAUGCCAGGGCAAGGCAGAUUUCUCAGAAAUAGAGAAACAAAAGAGUAAAAACCAAACUGAGACUGGGAGCAAACAAGUCAAAACCAGGAGCCAGUACUAGAUGGGGACAAAAUGACACUAAUUACAGCUGAGAAUGAUUUAGGGUUAGCCUGGUGAAAAACAAGUUGUCUUCAAGUUAAUAAAAUCAAACAGGACUUGUAUGAAGUAAGCACAGUACCUAGAGUGUUUAAUGGCUCCCCGUUGUUGGGGAGGCCCCCACAAUCUGGCCCGGUCUAUUUUCAGUCUAUUUUUCCCUUAUUUGCCCUUGACCCACCCAAAUGCAACCAAAAGCUCAUAACCAAGCUUGUUGAUCAACGUCUCCAGGGCUUUCCUUAGGCUGUCUCUCGGCCUGGAAUGCCAUUCCUCUCCUAAUGCCCUUCUUGGGUCCAAAUUCUAUGUAUCCUUCUAAUGCCUCUGGUUACCAAUUCCAACACAUAGGGGUUUCCCCCCACACCACCAAGCAAUUCUCAGACACCAGCUGGGUAUCCUACAAUUCAGCUCAGUCCUGACACUAUCUGGACAUAGAGUCUGAUCUCAUGGGCUAAGG